AUAACUGGGAUAUACAAAAAAAUUGGAACGACACAGAGAAUAUUAACAUGACCAUUGUGCAAGGAUGACAUGCACAAAUCGAAAAAUUAUGUUAGAGUUA